UACAGAGGGUGCGAGCGUUGUUCGGAAUUAUUGGGCGUAAAGAGUGUGUAGGCGGUGCUCUAAGUUCGGUGUGAAAUCUCCUGGCUUAACUGGGAGGGUGCGCCGGAAACUGGAGUGCUCGAACGUGGGAGAGGAAAGCGGAACUCCUGGUGGAGUGGUGAAAUGCGUAGAGAUCAGGAAGAACACCCGUGGCGAAGGCGGCCCACUGGGCCGGUGCUGACGCUGAGGCGCGAAGGCGUGGGGAGCGAACGGG
rnacentral:rRNA from 1 species